GUGUAGGUGUGUGUUCCAGGUAAAUCCGGUUCACUUUAACACUGAGGCGUGACGACGAGGCACUACGGUGCUGAAGCAACAAAUGCCCUGCUUCCAGGAAAAGCCUCUAAGCAUCAGGUAACAUCAAAUCGUACCCCAAACCGACACAGGUGGUCAGGUAGAGAAUACCAAGGCGCUUGAGAGAACUCGGGUGAAGGAACUAGGCAAAAUGGUGCCGUAACUUCGGGAGAAGGCACGCUGACACGUAGGUGAAGUGAUUUACUCAUGGAGCUGAAGUCAGUCGAAGAUACCAGCUGGCUGCAACUGUUUAUUAAAAACACAGCACUGUGCAAACACGAAAGUGGACGUAUACGGUGUGACGCCUGCCCGGUGCCGGAAGGUUAAUUGAUGGGGUCAGCGUAAGCGAAGCUCCUGAUCGAAGCCCCGGUAAACGGCGGCCGUAACUAUAACGGUCCUAAGGUAGCGAAAUUCCUUGUCGGGUAAGUUCCGACCUGCACGAAUGGCGUAAUGAUGGCCAGGCUGUCUCCACCCGAGACUCAGUGAAAUUGAACUCGCUGUGAAGAUGCAGUGUACCCGCGGCAAGACGGAAAGACCCCGUGAACCUUUACUAUAGCUUGACACUGAACAUUGAGCCUUGAUGUGUAGGAUAGGUGGGAGGCUUUGAAGUGUGGACGCCAGUCUGCAUGGAGCCGACCUUGAAAUACCACCCUUUAAUGUUUGAUGUUCUAACGUGGACCCGUAAUCCGGGUUGCGGACAGUGUCUGGUGGGUAGUUUGACUGGGGCGGUCUCCUCCUAAAGAGUAACGGAGGAGCACGAAGGUUGGCUAAUCCUGGUCGGACAUCAGGAGGUUAGUGCAAUGGCAUAAGCCAGCUUGACUGCGAGCGUGACGGCGCGAGCAGGUGCGAAAGCAGGUCAUAGUGAUCCGGUGGUUCUGAAUGGAAGGGCCAUCGCUCAACGGAUAAAAGGUACUCCGGGGAUAACAGGCUGAUACCGCCCAAGAGUUCAUAUCGACGGCGGUGUUUGGCACCUCGAUGUCGGCUCAUCACAUCCUGGGGCUGAAGUAGGUCCCAAGGGUAUGGCUGUUCGCCAUUUAAAGUGGUACGCGAGCUGGGUUUAGAACGUCGUGAGACAGUUCGGUCCCUAUCUGCCGUGGGCGCUGGAGAACUGAGGGGGGCUGCUCCUAGUACGAGAGGACCGGAGUGGACGCAUCACUGGUGUUCGGGUUGUCAUGCCAAUGGCACUGCCCGGUAGCUAAAUGCGGAAGAGAUAAGUGCUGAAAGCAUCUAAGCACGAAACUUGCCCCGAGAUGAGUUCUCCCUGAGACUUAGAGUCUCCUGAAGGAACGUUGAAGACGACGACGUUGAUAGGCCGGGUGUGUAAGCGCAGCGAUGCGUUGAGCUAACCGGUACUAAUGAACCGUGAGGCUUAACCUU
rnacentral:rRNA from 1 species